UACGUAGGACCCAAGCGUUAUCCGGAGUGACUGGGCGUAAAGAGUUGCGUAGGCGGCUUGUUAAGUGGAUAGUGAAACCUGGUGGCUCAACCAUUCAGACUAUUAUCCAAACUGGCAAGCUCGAGAAUGGUAGAGGUAGCUGGAAUUUCGUGUGUAGGAGUGAAAUCCGUAGAUAUACGAAGGAACACCAAUGGCGUAGGCAGGCUACUGGACCAUUUCUGACGCUGAGGCACGAAAGCGUGGGGAGCGAACCGG
rnacentral:rRNA from 1 species